GCUUACGGCCACACCGGCCUGAGUACGCCUGAUCUCGUCCGAUCUCGGAUGCUAAGCAGGGUCAGUUCUGGUUGGUACUUGGAUGGGAGACCGCCUGGGAAUACCAGGUGCUGUAAGCU
rnacentral:rRNA from 13 species